rnacentral:rRNA from 1 species
AUGAACGCUAGCUACAGACUUAACACAUGCAAGUCGAGGGGCAGCAUGGUCUUAGCUUGCUAAGGCCGAUGGCGACCGGCGCACGGGUGAGUAACACGUAUCCAACCUGCCGUCUACUCUUGGACAGCCUUCUGAAAGGAAGAUUAAUACAAGAUGGCAUCAUGAGUCCGCAUGUUCACAUGAUUAAAGGUAUUCCGGUAGACGAUGGGGAUGCGUUCCAUUAGAUAGUAGGCGGGGUAACGGCCCACCUAGUCUUCGAUGGAUAGGGGUUCUGAGAGGAAGGUCCCCCACAUUGGAACUGAGACACGGUCCAAACUCCUACGGGAGGCAGCAGUGAGGAAUAUUGGUCAAUGGGCGAGAGCCUGAACCAGCCAAGUAGCGUGAAGGAUGACUGCCCUAUGGGUUGUAAACUUCUUUUAUAAAGGAAUAAAGUCGGGUAUGCAUACCCGUUUGCAUGUACUUUAUGAAUAAGGAUCGGCUAACUCCGUGCCAGCAGCCGCGGUAAUACGGAGGAUCCGAGCGUUAUCCGGAUUUAUUGGGUUUAAAGGGAGCGUAGAUGGAUGUUUAAGUCAGUUGUGAAAGUUUGCGGCUCAACCGUAAAAUUGCAGUUGAUACUGGAUAUCUUGAGUGCAGUUGAGGCAGGCGGAAUUCGUGGUGUAGCGGUGAAAUGCUUAGAUAUCACGAAGAACUCCGAUUGCGAAGGCAGCCUGCUAAGCUGCAACUGACAUUGAGGCUCGAAAGUGUGGGUAUCAAACAGGAUUAGAUACCCUGGUAGUCCACACGGUAAACGAUGAAUACUCGCUGUUUGCGAUAUACUGCAAGCGGCCAAGCGAAAGCGUUAAGUAUUCCACCUGGGGAGUACGCCGGCAACGGUGAAACUCAAAGGAAUUGACGGGGGCCCGCACAAGCGGUGGAGUAUGUGGUUUAAUUCGAAGCAACGCGAAGAACCUUACCAGGCCUUGACAUCCCUUGCAGAGGUAUAGAGAUAUAUCCGAGGUUAUCAAGGAGACAGGUGGUGCAUGGUUGUCGUCAGCUCGUGUCGUGAGAUGUUGGGUUAAGUCCCGCAACGAGCGCAACCCUUAUGGUCAGUUACUACGCAAGAGGACUCUGGCCAGACUGCCGUUGACAAAACGGAGGAAGGUGGGGAUGACGUCAAAUCAGCACGGCCCUUACGUCCGGGGCUACACACGUGUUACAAUGGGGGGUACAGAGGGCCGCUACCACGCGAGUGGAUGCCAAUCCCAAAAACCUCUCUCAGUUCGGACUGGAGUCUGCAACCCGACUCCACGAAGCUGGAUUCGCUAGUAAUCGCGCAUCAGCCACGGCGCGGUGAAUACGUUCCCGGGCCUUGUACACACCGCCCGUCAAGCCAUGGGAGCCGGGGGUACCUGAAGUGCGUAACCGCGAGGAGCGCCCUAGGGUAAAACUGGUGACUGGGGCU